CUCUCUGUGACUCCUACGGGAGGCAGCAUGGGGGAAUAUUGCACAAUGGGCGCAAGCCUGAUGCAGCCAUGCCGCGUGUAUGAAGAAGGCCUUCGGGUUGUAAAGUACUUUCAGCAGUGAGGAAGGCGGGUACGUUAAUAGCGUAUUCGUUUGACGUUAGCUGCAGAAGAAGCACCGGCUAACUCCGUGCCAGCAGCCGCGGUAAUACGGAGGGUGCGAGCGUUAAUCGGAAUUACUGGGCGUAAAGCGCAUGCAGGUGGUUUGUUAAGUCAGAUGUGAAAGCCCCGGGGCUCAACCUCGGAAUUGCAUUUGAAACUGGCAGACUAGAGUACUGUAGAGGGGGUAGAAUUUCAGGUGUAGCGGUGAAAUGCGUAGAGAUCUGAAGGAAUACCGGUGGCGAAGGCGGCCCCCUGGACAGAUACUGACACUCAGAUGCGAAAGCGGUGGGGAGCAAACAGGAUUAGAUACCCUGGUAG
rnacentral:rRNA from 1 species